rnacentral:rRNA from 1 species
GAAAGGGAGGGGGGCUUACCUUGCAAGUCGAACGCUGAAGCCUGGUGCUUGCACCGGGUGGAUGAGUGGCGACCGUUUGAGUAACACGUGAGUAACCUGCCCCUGACUUCGGGAUAAGCCCGGGAAACUGGGUCUAAUACCGGAUACGACCGUCGGACGCAUGUCUGGUGGUGGAAAGUUUUUUCGGUUGGGGAUGGGCUCGCGGCCUAUCAGUUUGUUGGUGAGGUAAUGGCUCACCAAGACGACGACGGGUAGCCGGCCUGAGAGGGCGACCGGCCACACUGGGACUGAGACACGGCCCAGACUCCUACGGGAGGCAGCAGUGGGGAAUAUUGCACAAUGGGGGAAACCCUGAUGCAGCGACGCAGCGUGCGGGAUGACGGCCUUCGGGUUGUAAACCGCUUUCAGCAGGGAAGAAGCGCAAGUGACGGUACCUGCAGAAGAAGUACCGGCUAACUACGUGCCAGCAGCCGCGGUAAUACGUAGGGUACGAGCGUUGUCCGGACUUAUUGGUCGUAAUGA